rnacentral:rRNA from 1 species
UACGUAGGAGACGAGCGUUGUCCGGAGUUACUGGGCGUAAAGGGUGCGCAGGUGGUUGUGCGCGUGGGGGUGAAAUCGCCCGGCUUAACUGGGCGGGGCCUUCCAGACGGCAUGACUUGAGCAGCGGAGGGGACGUGGGAAUUCCGGGUGGAGCGGUGAAAUGCGUAGAGAUCCGGAGGAACACCGACGGCGCAGGCACGUCCUGGCCGCUUGCUACA